rnacentral:rRNA from 1 species
GAUGAACGCUGGCGGCGUGCCUAAUACAUGCAAGUCGAACGCUUUGUGGUUCAACUGAUUUGAAGAGCUUGCUCAGAUAUGACGAUGGACAUUGCAAAGAGUGGCGUACGGGUGAGUAACACGUGGGAAACCUACCUCUUAGCAGGGGAUAACAUUUGGAAACAGAUGCUAAUACCGUAUAACAAUGACAACCGCAUGGUUGUUAUUUAAAAGAUGGUUCUGCUAUCACUAAGAGAUGGUCCCGCGGUGCGUUAGCUAGUUGGUAAGGUAAUGGCUUACCAAGGCGAUGAUGCAUAGCCGAGUUGAGAGACUGAUCGGCCACAAUGGGACUGAGACACGGCCCAUACUCCUACGGGAGGCAGCAGUAGGGAAUCUUCCACAAUGGGCGAAAGCCUGAUGGAGCAACGCCGCGUGUGUGAUGAAGGGUUUCGGCUCGUAAAACACUGUUGUAAGAGAAGAAUGACAUUGAGAGUAACUGUUCAAUGUGUGACGGUAUCUUACCAGAAAGGAACGGCUAAAUACGUGCCAGCAGCCGCGGUAAUACGUAUGUUCCAAGCGUUAUCCGGAUUUAUUGGGCGUAAAGCGAGCGCAGACGGUUAUUUAAGUCUGAAGUGAAAGCCCUCAGCUCAACUGAGGAAUUGCUUUGGAAACUGGAUGACUUGAGUGCAGUAGAGGAAAGUGGAACUCCAUGUGUAGCGGUGAAAUGCGUAGAUAUAUGGAAGAACACCAGUGGCGAAGGCGGCUUUCUGGACUGUAACUGACGUUGAGGCUCGAAAGUGUGGGUAGCAAACAGGAUUAGAUACCCUGGUAGUCCACACCGUAAACGAUGAGUGCUAGGUGUUUGAGGGUUUCCGCCCUUAAGUGCCGCAGCUAACGCAUUAAGCACUCCGCCUGGGGAGUACGACCGCAAGGUUGAAACUCAAAGGAAUUGACGGGGACCCGCACAAGCGGUGGAGCAUGUGGUUUAAUUCGAAGCAACGCGAAGAACCUUACCAGGUCUUGACAUCCCUUGACAACUCCAGAGAUGGAGCGUUCCCUUCGGGGACAAGGUGACAGGUGGUGCAUGGUUGUCGUCAGCUCGUGUCGUGAGAUGUUGGGUUAAGUCCCGCAACGAGCGCAACCCUUAUUACUAGUUGCCAGCAUUCAGUUGGGCACUCUAGUGAGACUGCCGGUGACAAACCGGAGGAAGGUGGGGAUGACGUCAAAUCAUCAUGCCCCUUAUGACCUGGGCUACACACGUGCUACAAUGGCGUAUACAACGAGUUGCCAACCCGCGAGGGUGAGCUAAUCUCUUAAAGUACGUCUCAGUUCGGAUUGUAGGCUGCAACUCGCCUACAUGAAGUCGGAAUCGCUAGUAAUCGCGGAUCAGCACGCCGCGGUGAAUACGUUCCCGGGUCUUGUACACACCGCCCGUCACACCAUGAGAGUUUGUAACACCCAAAGCCGGUGGGGUAACCUUCGGGAGCCAGCCGUCUAAGGUGGGACAGAUGAUUAGGGUGAAG